GGGACACGUGGUAUCCUGUCUGAAUAUGGGGGGACCAUCCUCCAAGGCUAAAUACUCCUGACUGACCGAUAGUGAACCAGUACCGUGAGGGAAAGGCGAAAAGAACCCCGGCGAGGGGAGUGAAAAAGAACCUGAAACCGUGUACGUACAAGCAGUGGGAGCACCUUUAUGGUGUGACUGCGUACCUUUUGUAUAAUGGGUCAGCGACUUAUAUUCUGUAGCAAGGUUAACCGUAUAGGGGAGCCGCAGGGAAACCGAGUCUUAACUGGGCGUUAAGUUGCAGGGUAUAGACCCGAAACCCGGUGAUCUAGCCAUGGGCAGGUUGAAGGUUGGGUAACACUAACUGGAGGACCGAACCGACUAAUGUUGAAAAAUUAGCGGAUGACUUGUGGCUGGGGGUGAAAGGCCAAUCAAACCGGGAGAUAGCUGGUUCUCCCCGAAAGCUAUUUAGGUAGCGCCUCGUGAAUUCAUCUUCGGGGGUAGAGCACUGUUUCGGCUAGGGGGUCAUCCCGACUUACCAACCCGAUGCAAACUACGAAUACCGAAGAAUGUUAUCACGGGAGACACACGGCGGGUGCUAACGUCCGUCGUGAAGAGGGAAACAACCCAGACCGCCAGCUAAGGUCCCAAAGUCAUGGUUAAGUGGGAAACGAUGUGGGAAGGCACAGACAGCCAGGAUGUUGGCUUAGAAGCAGCCAUCAUUUAAAGAAAGCGUAAUAGCUCACUGGUCGAGUCGGCCUGCGCGGAAGAUGUAACGGGGCUAAACCAUGCACCGAAGCUGCGGCAGCGACACUAUGUGUUGUUGGGUAGGGGAGCGUUCUGUAAGCCUGCGAAGGUGACCUGUGAGGGUUGCUGGAGGUAUCAGAAGUGCGAAUGCUGACAUAAGUAACGAUAAAGCGGGUGAAAAGCCCGCUCGCCGGAAGACCAAGGGUUCCUGUCCAACGUUAAUCGGGGCAGGGUGAGUCGACCCCUAAGGCGAGGCCGAAAGGCGUAGUCGAUGGGAAACAGGUUAAUAUUCCUGUACUUGGUGUUACUGCGAAGGGGGGACGGAGAAGGCUAUGUUAGCCGGGCGACGGUUGUC
rnacentral:rRNA from 1 species